UGAGGAAUAUUGGUCAAUGGGCGCGAGCCUGAACCAGCCAAGUCGCGUGAGGGAUGACGGCCCUACGGUUGUAAACCUCUUUUGUCGGGGAGCAAAUUCCGUUACGUGUAACGGAGUCGAGAGUACCCGAAGAAAAAGCAUCGGCUAACUCCGUGCC
rnacentral:rRNA from 1 species